UACGGAGGGGGCUAGCGUUGUUCGGAAUUACUGGGCGUAAAGCGCACGUAGGCGGCUUUGUAAGUUAGGGGUGAAAGCCCGGAGCUCAACUCCGGAAUUGCCUUUAAGACUGCAUCGCUUGAAUCCGGGAGAGGUGAGUGGAAUUCCGAGUGUAGAGGUGAAAUUCGUAGAUAUUCGGAAGAACACCAGUGGCGAAGGCGGCUCACUGGACCGGUAUUGACGCUGAGGUGCGAAAGCGUGGGGAGCAAACAGG
rnacentral:rRNA from 1 species